UUUAUUUAGUAUAAUUAACAGUACAUUUGAUUUCCAAUCAAAAAGCCUUCAAUUAAUUAGAAUAAAUA
rnacentral:tRNA from 1 species